GGUUAAGCGACUAAGCGUACACGGUGGAUGCCCUGGCAGUCAGAGGCGAUGAAGGACGUGCUAAUCUGCGAUAAGCGUCGGUAAGGUGAUAUGAACCGUUAUAACCGGCGAUUUCCGAAUGGGGAAACCCAGUGUGAUUCGUCACACUAUCAUUAACUGAAUCCAUAGGUUAAUGAGGCGAACCGGGGGAACUGAAACAUCUAAGUACCCCGAGGAAAAGAAAUCAACCGAGAUUCCCCCAGUAGCGGCGAGCGAACGGGGAGCAGCCCAGAGCCUGAAUCAGUGUGUGUGUUAGUGGAAGCGUCUGGAAAGGCGCGCGAUACAGGGUGACAGCCCCGUACACAAAAAUGCACAUGCUGUGAGCUCGAUGAGUAGGGCGGGACACGUGGUAUCCUGUCUGAAUAUGGGGGGACCAUCCUCCAAGGCUAAAUACUCCUGACUGACCGAUAGUGAACCAGUACCGUGAGGGAAAGGCGAAAAGAACCCCGGCGAGGGGAGUGAAAAAGAACCUGAAACCGUGUACGUACAAGCAGUGGGAGCCUCUUUUAUGGGGUGACUGCGUACCUUUUGUAUAAUGGGUCAGCGACUUAUAUUCUGUAGCAAGGUUAACCGAAUAGGGGAGCCGAAGGGAAACCGAGUCUUAACUGGGCGUUAAGUUGCAGGGUAUAGACCCGAAACCCGGUGAUCUAGCCAUGGGCAGGUUGAAGGUUGGGUAACACUAACUGGAGGACCGAACCGACUAAUGUUGAAAAAUUAGCGGAUGACUUGUGGCUGGGGGUGAAAGGCCAAUCAAACCGGGAGAUAGCUGGUUCUCCCCGAAAGCUAUUUAGGUAGCGCCUCGUGAAUUCAUCUCCGGGGGUAGAGCACUGUUUCGGCAAGGGGGUCAUCCCGACUUACCAACCCGAUGCAAACUGCGAAUACCGGAGAAUGUUAUCACGGGAGACACACGGCGGGUGCUAACGUCCGUCGUGAAGAGGGAAACAACCCAGACCGCCAGCUAAGGUCCCAAAGUCAUGGUUAAGUGGGAAACGAUGUGGGAAGGCCCAGACAGCCAGGAUGUUGGCUUAGAAGCAGCCAUCAUUUAAAGAAAGCGUAAUAGCUCACUGGUCGAGUCGGCCUGCGCGGAAGAUGUAACGGGGCUAAACCAUGCACCGAAGCUGCGGCAGCGACGCUUAUGCGUUGUUGGGUAGGGGAGCGUUCUGUAAGCCUGUGAAGGUGUACUGUGAGGUAUGCUGGAGGUAUCAGAAGUGCGAAUGCUGACAUAAGUAACGAUAAAGCGGGUGAAAAGCCCGCUCGCCGGAAGACCAAGGGUUCCUGUCCAACGUUAAUCGGGGCAGGGUGAGUCGACCCCUAAGGCGAGGCCGAAAGGCGUAGUCGAUGGGAAACAGGUUAAUAUUCCUGUACUUGGUGUUACUGCGAAGGGGGGACGGAGAAGGCUAUGUUGGCCGGGCGACGGUUGUCCCGGUUUAAGCGUGUAGGCUGGUUUUCCAGGCAAAUCCGGAAAAUCAAGGCUGAGGCGUGAUGACGAGGCACUACGGUGCUGAAGCAACAAAUGCCCUGCUUCCAGGAAAAGCCUCUAAGCAUCAGGUAACAUCAAAUCGUACCCCAAACCGACACAGGUGGUCAGGUAGAGAAUACCAAGGCGCUUGAGAGAACUCGGGUGAAGGAACUAGGCAAAAUGGUGCCGUAACUUCGGGAGAAGGCACGCUGAUAUGUAGGUGAAGUCCCUCGCGGAUGGAGCUGAAAUCAGUCGAAGAUACCAGCUGGCUGCAACUGUUUAUUAAAAACACAGCACUGUGCAAACACGAAAGUGGACGUAUACGGUGUGACGCCUGCCCGGUGCCGGAAGGUUAAUUGAUGGGGUUAGCGCAAGCGAAGCUCUUGAUCGAAGCCCCGGUAAACGGCGGCCGUAACUAUAACGGUCCUAAGGUAGCGAAAUUCCUUGUCGGGUAAGUUCCGACCUGCACGAAUGGCGUAAUGAUGGCCAGGCUGUCUCCACCCGAGACUCAGUGAAAUUGAACUCGCUGUGAAGAUGCAGUGUACCCGCGGCAAGACGGAAAGACCCCGUGAACCUUUACUAUAGCUUGACACUGAACAUUGAGCCUUGAUGUGUAGGAUAGGUGGGAGGCUUUGAAGUGUGGACGCCAGUCUGCAUGGAGCCGACCUUGAAAUACCACCCUUUAAUGUUUGAUGUUCUAACGUUGACCCGUAAUCCGGGUUGCGGACAGUGUCUGGUGGGUAGUUUGACUGGGGCGGUCUCCUCCUAAAGAGUAACGGAGGAGCACGAAGGUUGGCUAAUCCUGGUCGGACAUCAGGAGGUUAGUGCAAUGGCAUAAGCCAGCUUGACUGCGAGCGUGACGGCGCGAGCAGGUGCGAAAGCAGGUCAUAGUGAUCCGGUGGUUCUGAAUGGAAGGGCCAUCGCUCAACGGAUAAAAGGUACUCCGGGGAUAACAGGCUGAUACCGCCCAAGAGUUCAUAUCGACGGCGGUGUUUGGCACCUCGAUGUCGGCUCAUCACAUCCUGGGGCUGAAGUAGGUCCCAAGGGUAUGGCUGUUCGCCAUUUAAAGUGGUACGCGAGCUGGGUUUAGAACGUCGUGAGACAGUUCGGUCCCUAUCUGCCGUGGGCGCUGGAGAACUGAGGGGGGCUGCUCCUAGUACGAGAGGACCGGAGUGGACGCAUCACUGGUGUUCGGGUUGUCAUGCCAAUGGCACUGCCCGGUAGCUAAAUGCGGAAGAGAUAAGUGCUGAAAGCAUCUAAGCACGAAACUUGCCCCGAGAUGAGUUCUCCCUGACUCCUUGAGAGUCCUGAAGGAACGUUGAAGACGACGACGUUGAUAGGCCGGGUGUGUAAGCGCAGCGAUGCGUUGAGCUAACCGGUACUAAUGAACCGUGAGGCUUAACCUU
rnacentral:rRNA from 1 species